AAACAGAGAUUCCCAAAGUAGUGGCGAGCGAAAUGGGAAUAGCCUAAACCGCACAGAUCAUAUGGCCUGCAAGCUUCGAUCGUGUGGUGUCGCGGGAGCUUUUGGAGUUCGUUGCAGUGAACUCAAAGAGUUACAAAUUUUUAUGAUAGAAGAACGAUUUGGAAAAUUCGGCCAUAGAGGGUGAUAGCCCCGUAAUCGAAAUCAUAAAAACUCUUGAAAGUUUCCCAAGUAGGGCGGGACACGAGAAAUCCUGUCUGAAUCCGGGAGGACCAUCUUCCAAGGCUAAAUAUUCGUAUCUGACCGAUAGUGAACUAGUACCGCGAGGGAAAGGUGAAAAGUACCCCGAUAAGGGGAGUGAAAUAGUACCUGAAACUGUAUGCUUACAAACGGUGGGAGAACUAUGGCCCGCAAGGGCAAUGUUUGACCGCGUACCUUUUGCAUAAUGGGCCGGCGAGUUAGUGUAUGUAGCAAGGUUAAGUCGUUAUAGACGAAGCCGCAGCGAAAGCGAGUCCGAAACGGGCGAACUUAGUUGCAUGCACUAGACCCGAAACCAGUUGAUCUACCCAUGGCCAGGUUGAAGCUGAGGUAAAACUCAGUGGAGGACCGAACCCACGAAUGUUGAAAAAUUCGGGGAUGAGCUGUG
rnacentral:rRNA from 1 species